AUUUCCUUGGUCGAAAAGUUUCCUUGAUUUGGUCUUAAAUGACGUGCGAAGACGCCCCUUUAGAAAUAAAAAAUAAUACUUAAUUAGACUUAAGAAGCCAAAUAAACUUAAUGUGAAUGCAUCCUUAGUGCAUGAUCAUUUUAUUCUUUUUCUUAUUUUCCUAGAAAAAGUUCUAGGAUCCUUAAAUAUUAAUUCAAUCGAGAGAUUUAAUUUACUGUGGAGGUUUAUGGAAUAAUCCGUUAAACUUUGACGAGCACAUCGUUUAAAAGCAACUAGUCCAUUUAUUUAUUAUUCUAGUCCAAAGACUUGAGAUUUAUCCAUUUAUUUGAGCAGCCCAACUAAAAACUAUUUCCACUAGCCCUAAACCAUUUAAUUAAGGUGGUCCGCAAUUUAAUUUAGGCAGCCCAAAACACAUGACCCAAACUUCUCAAAAUGUGGAGGUGGCCAAAAAGUCCAAAUAUACUCCCCUCCUCCAUCGGCUAUACUCCUAAAACUCUCUCUUCUUCCCCAAAUUAAAAACCCUAAAUUAAUAAUCUCCAAAUCGAAAAUUUGUCACUCCUCUUCUCCCCUGCGUCAGCGCAUCACUCCGGUCAACGACAAAGCGCCACCGGCGUUUCUCCUCGGCAUCACGUUUUCGAGCUAUCUUUCUCUCCGUUGAAACCACUGAGGAGUUAUGUGUUUUCCGUCGCAUCGCCGUCCGUCUCUUCACAGCGAAUCAGCGCCGUUGGGAUGUCUCCGGCUGAGGCAGACUCAGCUCGUUCCGUUUCACAGACCAGGGCCGGUGUCGCCGCCACCAACGAUCAGCACCACCGCCGUGGCUCCUCGACUUGCCGCUGCUUCGCGGGCGGUCCGGCUGAGACGGUGUGGUCAGCUGCCGUCACUGGUCUUACUGAUACAGCCCCACUCCUCGAUCGGAUGAAGAUGAGUCCUUUACCCCGAUUUCCUAUUCUAAAAUUAAAUUGUUAUCGCAACUAUUUGGUGAUUUCUUAGUUCAUUAGAGAAGUUGGACAAAAGGCAGAUUUAGCAAAAAUUGAAAUCUUAGGCUUAAAGUUGUGAAUUUAUUUUGCUGGCUGUGAGGGUUUAACAAUACUUGAAGGAAGCUUGUGAUAACAUGAGGGUUUCUAUGUUGUGAGUACUACUUAAGUUACUGAUCUUGAUGUAAAUGCAGUAGCUUAUUGCUUCUAGUUCUAGUGCUUCUACAUGAUGAUAUUUUAAUUGGGAUGAGGAUGGAGGUGUAUUACCUCUUGAAGUAGCUACUGAUUCUUUUCCCCUGCCCCUAGAUUCACAGCUUGCCCACUUGUUCCUCUGAUUCCUUUUUGAUAUAUUAGGAAAAAGGUGAGUUUGGGUUUGAGCAUAAAGUACUUGUGAGAAAUGAGGAAUAGUGUUACCUAUGGAGAGUAGGGGCUGCCCUUGUUGUAAGAACUCUUUGCUGGGAAUUACUCACUCAACUCUCUACACCCCCAAAACUUGCAAUGUGGCUGGGAAAAUUAAAGUAUGUGGGAGGGGGAAAUUCCGAUGAGUAUGAAGGGUUUUUUUUAUAGGCAAGCCUUGGUGUACUUUGGGGAAAUUAAAUGGCUGUUGCUGCAGUUUUGUUUUCGUUCGUAGCAUAUCCUUCUGUUUGAUUCACUUUGCAACACUUUAACUUAAAUUACUUUGGUGUUAUUUGGUGGUGCUAGGUACUUGGUUGUUAGCUUCAUCUUGUCCUCAUAUGGCCAUUUGGUGGCUGGUACAAAGUAGGUUUAAGGUGCUGCCAUAAGGGUGGAGGAUUUGCAGGGUUUGACUUGCCCUUCUUGCUGAGUUUUUUGGGUCCUCCAUAGCUAAAGAGGGGUGGAAUAAUAAUUGGCUGUCAUACUACUAUCCACGACAUGGGCUCACUGCCCCGGGCCCGACGGGCUGAACGGGUAGGGCCGCGGUGAGGAACAUUUUAGUUCGGGGAGAAUGACUUCAUAUCCUUGUACAACGUUCAAAUAUUUCAUAACAUACAUUAGUUCGAUUAUCACUUUAA